UUGUGAUGUUGAUGACUUUCCUGACUUGCCGGUUAGGCUGGCUUUGUUCAUUUGAAGCUUCGUUUUUCAUUAAAAAAAAUUAAGUUCAGCAAGUACAAACAUCGUCAUAAACUACGGCCAAAUGUAGGACCCCCUGUCUCUCAUUAUCGAUACGAUUGUAGAGCGGAUUCUGGACAGUGUCCUGAGACAAUAAGUUCAUCUUUUUCUGAAUAAUGUCUGUUACGUUGCCUUUUCGUCUUAAAGAUGAACUAUGCAUGAUGCUAAAUGAACAUAAAAGUGUUAGUAAAUGAAAGAGAAAACAAGAGCCCGGAAUGCCAGGACCUAACAGAUGCCAAAGCUUGAAAUUUCUGAUGUGAUAUCAACACUAUUCAGUAUUUCAUUUGGAACAGAAAAAAUCUGCAGACUGAGAUACUUGUACUGAGGAAAUACCUGCUGUUGAAGAAAAAACCAAAGACUUGUUUAGGUAGAAACAACAAUAUGCAGAUAGUUCAAAUUGCUGCAUCUAUUGGAGCACCCAUCAUCAUCAGGAAUUUUUCUUGAAUUUCCAGUAAUUCCAAAAAUGCACCUUGCAGGCAUAGAUUGAUUGUUGUAGCUUACCACAUGUUACAAGAUUAUUUAACCCUGAUGAGAAGUCACAAGAUGCAGUGAAUGACACUUGGGAGCAAUGAGGAGUGAGGGUUUUUUAGUGUGCCAAUAUCUGCUGUUCCAACCUUUACUCUCUCAACC